rnacentral:rRNA from 1 species
UACGGAGGGAGCUAGCGUUGUUCGGAAUUACUGGGCGUAAAGCGCACGUAGGCGGCUUUGUAAGUAAGAGGUGAAAGCCUGGAGCUCAACUCCAGAAUAGCCUUUUAGACUGCAUCGCUUGAAUCCGGGAGAGGUGAGUGGAAUUCCGAGUGUAGAGGUGAAAUUCGUAGAUAUUCGGAAGAACACCAGUGGCGAAGGCGGCUCACUGGACCGGCAUUGACGCUGAAGUGCGAAAGCGUGGGGAGCAAACAGG